rnacentral:tRNA from 2 species
GCCGCCAUGGUGUAGUGGUAGCACAGGAGCCUGUGGAGCUCCUGGCCCGGGUUCGAUUCCCGGUGGCGGCC